rnacentral:rRNA from 1 species
GAUGAACGCUGGCGGCGUGCCUAAUACAUGCAAGUCGAGCGAACAGACGAGGAGCUUGCUCCUCUGACGUUAGCGGCGGACGGGUGAGUAACACGUGGAUAACCUACCUAUAAGACUGGGAUAACUUCGGGAAACCGGAGCUAAUACCGGAUAAUAUAUUGAACCGCAUGGUUCAAUAGUGAAAGACGGUUUUGCUGUCACUUAUAGAUGGAUCCGCGCCGCAUUAGCUAGUUGGUAAGGUAACGGCUUACCAAGGCAACGAUGCGUAGCCGACCUGAGAGGGUGAUCGGCCACACUGGAACUGAGACACGGUCCAGGCUCCUACGGGAGGCAGCAGUAGGGAAUCUUCCGCAAUGGGCGAAAGCCUGACGGAGCAACGCCGCGUGAGUGAUGAAGGUCUUCGGAUCGUAAAACUCUGUUAUUGGGGAAGAACAAAUGUGUAAGUAACUAUGCACGUCUUGACGGUACCUAAUCAGAAAGCCACGGCUAACUACGUG